rnacentral:lncRNA from 1 species
AUGCCAAGUAUUAGAAGAUGGUGGUCUGCCCUUUUGCUGGAUCUGAUCCCACCAAGAUCAUUCACGAAAAGCCAGCAAAGAAAAAAGAGGCGAAUCGGGGCUGACAAGAGACAAGACACUGGUGUGGUGAACUGGAAGGCAUUUAGUGAGAACUUCAGAUCCCUGUACAGGAUUCCUUACUCAAUAUCCAGAUGCCUCCAGUGUGACAGCUUGUACAAGCAUUAUGGAGCAGGCUACAGAGGGAGAGGACAAAGAGGCGUGUUGCAGGGGUUUUACUCCUCUGAUGACUUUGAGGACAACUAGAGCCCAGAUACAGGUCCCCUGUAAAGACCUUGUCUCAGAGGACCACCAGGACAAGACCACAGGAAACAGAUGAUUCUUCUGCACAAUCUGACUUUGCUGCAGUCUGGAAUUGAACUACUGGUUUCGUCUGGUCAGAGGAGAACUGACCUCCAACUGAACCUGAUUUCUCCCAAGGUUUUUUUCUCCAUUCUGUCACCGAUGGAGUUUCGGUUCCUUGCCGCUGUCGCCUCUGGCUUGUUUAGUUGGGGUCACUUCAUCUACAGCGAUAUCAUUGACUUGAUUGCAAAUAAAUGCAUAGACACUUUUUAAACUGAACAGAGAUGAAUUCAAUGUUUUAUUUAGGAGUGUACCAGACUCCAAAGAAGGCCAGAGAUUCCAAGUUGUCAUCCCGGCAAAGUUGAAGGAAGCAAUUUUAACUUAUGCACAUGACAAUCCUCUGAGUGGACACUUGGGCAAAUUUAAGACACUGAUGAGACUUUUAGAGUUCGCUUAUUGGCCUUCAAUUCGCACAGAUGUAUGGCAGCACUGCCGGAAUUGUCAGAAAUGUCAGCAACAUAAACAGACCAACUUAAAACCAUACAAAGUGUACCCCUAGUCGAGCCCGGUUAUAUGCUGGGAAUGGACAUCAUGGGACCAUUUCCCCGAAUCACCCGACAGAACGAAUAUCUGCUGGUUAUAGUGGACUACUUCUCAAAAUGGGUAGAAGUAUUUCCCAUGAGAGCUGCCAAAUCUGCUACCAUUGUGCGAAUAUUAAGAGAGGAAAUUUUCACGAGAUGGGGAACAUGUUACCACUAGCAGCCGCUUGAGGGCGCUAGAGGUAAUUGAUUACCGGAUAUAAGCCCCGAUCAUAGACGAGCAAGUCAGAUUCUUUGGUAGAGGGAAACCUCAUGGUUGAGCUCAUGGCUGGCUACCUUCUUUCUCACAAGUCCUGUUUGAGAACUGUUUAAGUUUACGCUCAAACAAGGACUUUUUGUUUGGCCUUUUUUAGACCUUAUUGGACUCUUUGGACAUUUGAUACCUUUAUUGUUCCAUGCUGCACGUGUUCUCCUCAUUUGAGCACUAUUUACCACACGAUCUUCUAUAAGCAACCUUGGUUUGUUGCUACAGAUCUACAGUGCUGCUUAUCUCCAUUCCAUUCUCACUGGUCUCACUGGAUUAUAACAUUGCAUCGUCCUCAAAUAACCGUUUGGAUUUUAAUCAUCUCAUCAGCAUCAUCAUCAUCAUCAUCAUCUGAUUCAUCUAACAUUGAACUAACAUGAUAAGGUUCAUUUAUUAUUGACUUUCCUUAAAUGCUCAUAAAAAUGCUCAGUUAUUUAUAUUGAUUAUCUAUCGUGCACUUGGGAAUAAAACCAAAAAGAGAAACGUAUUUGUUUGGUGAAGUGGUUUUAUUAUUAGUACCAGUCGAAUUCUGUGGGACCCCUCAGAUUGUAUC